UACGAAGGGGGCUAGCGUUGUUCGGAAUUACUGGGCGUAAAGCGCGCGCAGGCGGUCUUCCAAGUCAGUGGUGAAAGCCCGGAGCUCAACUCCGGAACUGCCAUUGAAACUGUAAGACUUGAGGAUGAGAGAGGUGAGCGGAAUUCCCAGUGUAGAGGUGAAAUUCGUAGAUAUUGGGAAGAACACCGGUGGCGAAGGCGGCUCACUGGCUCAUUACUGACGCUCAGGCGCGACAGCGUGGGGAUCAAACAGG
rnacentral:rRNA from 1 species